UUUGGUGAUGAUGGCGGAAGGGAACCACGCAGACCAGGUACCCACUCCGAACACGACGUUAAGCCUUCCAGCGUCGAUGGUACUUGGACCGCAGGGUCCUGGGAGAGUAGAACGUCGCCAAGC
rfam:Paenibacillus mucilaginosus 3016, complete genome.